GGCAAUAUUUGAUGGUGGAACCAUUUUUUUGCUCGAGUGCUAUGAAGUUUUUUUGAUAGUGUGAGGUUGAUGUUGAUAGAAUAAUGAGUUUUAUAGAGACUUUCUUGAUGUAAAACUAUAUUUUUUUGUUUAAUGUGGUAUUUUUAUUUUUACAUAAUUUACUACCAUUUUAAGAUAGAUGUCCAUUUUAUUUAAUGUACUAUUUCCAUUUUUUUGAAAACUGUGCAUUUACUUAUU
rnacentral:lncRNA from 1 species